UAUUUGUGAAUGUUGUUGGGGGAAGCCCAGAUAAAUUAGUUUCUUAGUUGAACAUUGAAGAUUGAGCUGUAUUAAUUUCUCUGGAUCACGAAUUGACUUUACUUUGUUGAAGAAGGUUUCGUGUGACAUAGUUGGAAUACAUAAACUUUCCAUCCAACUUUGGCAAUUGAAGAAUCAAUGAAUCUUUGAGUAUAUUUGUGGUUGGGGUUUGACUCUUUUGGCUAAUUCAUACUUGGAAAUCUACAUACACAGAUCUUGAACAGGUUUAAUAUGGACAGGGGUAAGGGUGCUGCGACUGAUACCUGUGGUGGUAUGAGAGAGUUUUGCAAAUGGACUGAGGACAUGGAUGCAAAACUUUUGCAUUCUAUGAUUGAGGAGAAUCGUUUGGGGAAUAGGAUUGAUGGUAGUUGGACAACCCAAGCAUACAAUAACAUGGUUCAAUUCCUUCAUAACGCUGGUUAUGUUUAUGUUACUAAAGCUAAUGUAAAAAAUCGUCAAAAGGUAUUAAAAGACAGAUGGCGGGAGGCUCAUGACCUCUUUAGUGGAU